CUAGAUUGCUGUUUCCCCCGAUUUCUUUCUUUUUUCAUCUUGCUAAAUCCUGCAAUGUUUUUUAAACUUAGGCAUGGAAGAUUGCCUCAAAUAUUGAAUGUCCAGGGUUUCCAAGACCCUCUUUGAUAUGCUGUAGCCACACGUUCCUGGACAGCAAGGAGAAUUUAUAAUUUCUGUUUACAUCUUCGAAUCUCAGCAGAGAGGAGAUGCCCAGCCAGCUCUGCUUGUGGAAUGGAUUCUCAAUGGGCCAGCUCCUGCAUGUUGGUGUGUUGGUGCAUGUCAGACUGCCAUUCAACAAAAGGCAAGACUCUGCCUCCACUCUGGGUAUUCUGGAAAAUGACCGGCAAUCAGCCUGCCCUAGGCACAGAGAGCUGUCCUGGGAAGCCCUCCAUUGGAAUGAGAGUGGACACAGAGCAAGUGGUAUCCCCUGUGGACUGGUGACUAUGUAGUCAAUGGAGUUGGGAUGUUAAAACUGGUCAGUGUGGCUAGGUAACGGCACUGAAGGCCAGAUAACCCCAUCCAAACAUGCUCAGCACCUUGGAAACAGGAAAAGUCUGCACCAAAUGUGGACACACCUCCUAAAAGGUGAAGUCACUGAGUAGCCUGAGAAUGCAUUUCCAGCACUGAGGGUGGGCAGGGGAUGCUGAAAUAAAAAUUAAAUUCUGUUAUCAAAACAAAGGAAGAUGGCAUCUUUGCAUGUCUGAGAAUAUAGACUACCAUUUAUUCCAACUACUUGUCCAGAAAGCAAAAUCUAUUUAUCUAUAGUUUUUGCCUUUUUCUAUCCAUUGGGCCAAAGUAAAUUUUUAUUUUGCAUGCUUAUAUUUUUAUUUUCAAAGUAAAUUUUUCUUUUGUGUGUUUUCUCUUGGCUAACGAAAGAUAGAGAUUGCUAGGAACUGAAUGUUUACACAUUCCUCCCCGCAUUCAUGUAUUGAAAUCCUAAUCCCCAAGGUGAUGGAUUAGGGGGUGGAGCCAUUGGAAGGCGAUAAGGUCAUAAGGGUAGAAUUCCCACAAGUGGGAUCAGUGACCCCAUAAAAGGACAUAUGAGAACUUGCUUUUUCUCUCUCUGUUCUCCUCCAUGUGUGGACACAGCAAGAUGACCAUCUGCAAUUCAGGUAGCAACCCCCCACCAGACAUGGGAUCUGCCAGUGGUUUGAUCCUGGACUCCUAGCCUCCAGAGAUGUGAGAAAUAAAUGUUUGUUGUUUAAGCCACCAGUCUAUGGUAAUGUGUUAUAGCAGCCCAAACUAACUAAUAUGGUUUGGCUUUGUGUCCCCACCUUAAUCUUAACUUGAAUUGUAAUUCCAUAAUCCCCACAUGUCAUGGGGAGGGACCCAGUGGGAGGUAAUUGAAUAAUGGGAGUGUUUUUUCCCCAUGCUGUUCUCGUAAUAGUGAGUGAGCUCUCACGAGAUCCAGUGGUUUUAUGAGAGGCUUCCCCCUUCACUCAGCACUUCUUUUUCCUGCACCAUGUGAAGAAGGAUGUGUUUGCUUCCCAUUUUG
rnacentral:lncRNA from 1 species